UACGGAGGAUCCGAGCGUUAUCCGGAUUUAUUGGGUUUAAAGGGUGCGUAGGCGGUUUGAUAAGUUAGAGGUGAAAUGUCGGGGCUCAACCCCGAAACUGCCUCUAAUACUGUUGGACUAGAGAAUAGUUGCGGUAGGCGGAAUGUAUGGUGUAGCGGUGAAAUGCAUAGAUAUCACGCAGAACCCCGAUUGCGAAGGCAGCAUACCGGUGCACAACUGACGCUCAGGCACGAAAGCGUGGGUAUCGAACAGG
rnacentral:rRNA from 1 species